rnacentral:rRNA from 1 species
UAAGGAAUAUUGGUCAAUGGAGGCAACUCUGAACCAGCCAUGCCGCGUGCAGGAAGACAGCCCUCUGGGUCGUAAACUGCUUUUAUUCGGGAAUAAACCUUAUUACGUGUAAUAAGCUGAAUGUACCGAAGGAAUAAGGAUCGGCUAACUCCGUGCCAGCAGCCGCGGUAAUACGGAGGAUCCAAGCGUUAUCCGGAUUUAUUGGGUUUAAAGGGUGCGUAGGCGGCUUAUUAAGUCAGGGGUGAAAGACGGUGGCUCAACCAUCGCAGUGCCUUUGAUACUGAUGAGCUUGAAUGAACUAGAGGUAGGCGGAAUGUGACAAGUAGCGGUGAAAUGCAUAGAUAUGUCACAGAACACCGAUUGCGAAGGCAGCUUACUAUGGUUUUAUUGACGCUGAGGCACGAAAGCGUGGGGAUCAAACA